GAUGAACGCUGGCGGCGUGCUUAAUACAUGCAAGUCGAACGGAAAGGUCCUGCUUUUGCUGGGUGCUCGAGUGGCGAACGGGUGAGUAACACGUGAGUAACCUGCACUUGACUUUGGGAUAACUUCAGGAAACUGGGGCUAAUAUCGGAUAGGAGCUCCUGCUGCAUGGUGGGGGUUGGAAAGUUUCGGCGGUUGGGGAUGGACUCGCGGCUUAUCAGCUUGUUGGUGGGGUAGUGGCUUACCAAGGCUUUGACGGGUAGCCGGCCUGAGAGGGUGACCGGCCACAUUGGGACUGAGAUACGGCCCAGACUCCUACGGGAGGCAGCAGUGGGGAGUAUUGCACAAUGGGCGGAAGCCUGAUGCAGCAACGCCGCGUGCGGGAUGACGGCCUUCGGGUUGUAAACCGAUUUCGCCGGUGACGAAGCGUGAGUGACGGUAAUGGGUAAAGAAGCACCGGCUAACUACGUG
rnacentral:rRNA from 1 species